UGACGGAUUUGGUGAGCGGACUCUCCACAUGUCGAGUGCGCGUUGUCGCACGUGGAUCAGCAGACGUGCACACAAGCCAGCGCUCACCUACACAUCGACAAGAAGUCACACACGUAGGCAGCGCAGCGGGAGCUCCGACACUUAAUUCUUGCGACGCAAAACAUACGCACACACACACACACGCCACAAGAUGACAGAGCGCAUUAUGGUUGCCGUGCGAGUUCGUCCAUUUCUGCCGCACGAGAAUGAGGCCAGCUGCCUGGAGGUGUCGGAGAACCAAGUCGCCGUUGGCGCCGGACGCCCCUUUGUCUUCGACUGUGUCUUCGACGAAAAGGCCUCGUCCGACGACGUCUACGUUGCACUUGGACAGCCGCUAGCAGACUCCUUUCUGAACGGCUUUCACGCGUCCACGAUUGCGUAUGGGCAGACCGGCUCUGGCAAGACGUUCACCAUGGCCACGCUACUCCACGACACCGUGCAGGAAGUUUUUUGCCGCCUCACAGAGGAUUCGGAGGCGACGCAGAGCAACGGACGCUCCAGCUCCGCCCUCACCAGUUUGAGCACCACGCUACGCACGAGCACGACCUUCACCAUGUCACUCAGCGUCCUGGAGGUGUACAAUGAGUCCAUCGGCGACCUGCUUGCCGCGCUGGUGCCGCAGCCCCCGAGGCAACAUACGGCGACGGUGUUGAACGGCACCGUCCUGCAAGCCUUAGAUACUCCAAGACGGCUGUUAGCGCAGGGCUGCGGCCCACUUCCAAAUCGGAGGUCGUUGCAGCGACGCGCCUAUGGGCCGACUAGCUCGUUCCCUCGAAACUCUCUCGCCCUACGCGAGGAUCCACAUGGGGGCGUGUAUGUGGCGGGUCUCACAGAGGCGCCAGUGCGCAGUGAAGCAGAGAUGCUCGCGCUGAUCGACAGCGCCAUUGAGAAUCGAAAGACGGCCUCGACACUAAAGAAUCCAAAAAGCUCGCGCUCGCACUGCGUCAUCACGCUCACGUUGCAGCGACGCGGUUUGUGCUCGCGCUGCUGCUUUGUCGAUUUAGCCGGGAUUGAGCGCCUGAAGUCUCGCGGAGUGGCCGGUCCGUCCGGCAGACCUGGUGGCCCAGCAAGUCUCGUCGGGGCGAGUCUGCCGUCAUGCCGCACCCUUUCCGAGCGCAUGCGAGAAGGCAUCAACAUCAAUAGUGGGCUGCUGGCUCUGGGCAACGUCAUUGUUGCGCUGUGCGAGCGAAAGCCGUACGUGCCGUACCGCUCCUCCAAGCUGACGCGCCUGCUGCAGCCGAUGCUCAGUGGAAACGCCCGAACGGCGAUUGUCGCCUGCAUCUCUCAGCUUGCGUCGUCGAUGGAGGAGACGCUGAACACGCUCAAGUACGCUGACCGCGCGAAGCGCAUUCAUAUCCACCCGCACCUGGCCGUUGCGGAAGUGACGACGUCCGUGGAUGCCCGGCAAACGAUUCUGCUGCUGCGUGAACAGCUGGAGGACGCGCAGCGCCGCUUAGUGAUCGCCACCGCCGCUGGCGCAGGCACGCGGAACCCCGCUCGGUCGCCUUCGGCAUCCCUCAUGCGGGAGGUGAAGCACCUACGCGAGCUCCUGUGCCAGGAGCGUCAGUUGACGAAGCGACUUGAGAACGACGUGCUCAGUGCUAAGUGCAUCGCCAUGGCCGAAGUGGAGAAGCGCAAGGCUCUGGAGGUGCGAGUCGCGCAGCUCGAGGCAGCGAGCGCUGCUGACCCGAAGGCGAAAGAGGCAGGGUGCACCGAGGCCAGCGCUGACGGUGACACGGGGAAAUCGGCCAGCCCUUUGCUCAACCUCCGCAGUUGCCUCGCGACAGACAUGACGUGCCUCCAGCAGCUGGAGGAAGAGCGGGAGGCGCUAGCGGCGAUGCCGGCUCAGAAGGUGGGGGACACGGUUCGGCUCGAGGCAACCCUUGUGGAGAAUGGAAACUGCGGUGCUGACAACCUCGCUGCCACCUUGACCGCUAGCGCGGACGACGACUCCAACGUGGUGACGCUCGCAGAGGACAUUGCUGCCCAGAAAGGUCGAGUUGCGCAGCUGCAGAUGGAAAACGGCGACGCCUCUGCACAACUCGUGCAGCGCGAGAAGCUGUGGUGCACCCUCAGUAGCCAGGCGCACCCGUGUGGAGAGCUACGCAAGGCGGAGGCCCAGCUGGAGAAGUCCGAGGUGGCGCUUAAGCGGGGAAAGCAGGAAAAAGAGAAGCUGCGCGCCGCCUCCGGGGAUCACCUCCGCCGCGCUAGGGAGAAGUCUGUGGACUACCGCGGCCGCGUCAAGGAGUCGGCGCGGCACGUGCGUGCGCGCCAGGCGGAUCUCGAAAGCACCCGCCAGCUGCAAGAAAAGUUGGUGGAGCUGCAGGCGGAGGUGUUCCGGCAGCGGCUGUGUGCGCGUAAAACUCGGAAGGCGUCUUGGAAGCUCAAUGGUGCCCAUCAGCAGGAGGUGGAGCAGUUUCAGAAGCAGCUGCAGCUGAUAAGCACACAGACGACGUCUCCGAGUCAACGCACGAAGCUCAGAGGUGCUGCCAUUGUGAAGGAGCGCAGUCAGCUGGCAGGUCAGCAGGUGCAGAGGUCUCAGCAAGAGGUGCCUUCCCCCGUGCGUCUUUGCCACCUGUCACCUGAGAAGACACUGUCUCCGAUGCUGUCCUCCUCCUCCGCCAAAGUCAGUCCCCGAUCGCCUGCGCUCGGUAAAACCUCGCCGCACAUCGUCAAGGCUCGCAAGAACUUCCACAUGUCAUCGUCUUGGUCGGGAUUUCAUGCGCAUGGGCUUCACAGUAGCAUCGAUGGUGCCCUGCAGAGCUCAUGCGCCGGCGACGCGACGCAGACGACCAUCAAGUGCGAGCUGCAAGGCUUGGAGCAAAUACAGAAGGAGCUGGCCAAGCUACUGGUGUAUCGCCGCGCCCUGCUGACCGCGCAAGCCGUUGAUGCAUCCAAGUGGCACCGCGCUAAGGAGGGCUUUGCGCGGCGACUCUCACAGGUUCGCGCUGCGCUGCAGUCCACCGAGCCGGGCCAGCGCGAGCGCACGGCUCUUCUCAAGGAGCAAAGCAGCAUGGAGGAGCAGCUUCGACAGCUGCAAGCGCUCCACCACAUGCUCGCCGACCCUGCGCAGCAGCUGGCUGAGCUCGACAGCCGUAUCGAGGACCUGAACAGGGCGCACAGGCUUUACACGCAGCGCUUUCGCCAACUGCAGCGCUCGGUGCCGAAGCCGCGCGGGGGCGGUGGGGUGGUGUCGGCGAGGGAGAAGCAUCAGCCGUCUGUGCGCCACAUGCGCGCGGCAUCUGCAAGGUACGCCGCUGCCGGCACGUCAGCCCCCCACACACCGGUGGCAUCGACGCGAGGAAACAACGGAAACAUGCGGGCAUAUGUGACGGGGUCGAAGCAGCAGGUCAUGCAUCGAGCUGAGGAGUCCCGCUCGUUGCGUGCACAAGAGCUACAUGCGUAGUGUUCGUGCGUGUGUACGCACGUUCCGUGGCGCGCGGUGGGUGUGGGCGAUGGCGAGGGAGUGGAAAGUGCAACGCGUAUCUCCAGACCUGAACACCGUGUUUCCCUUUUCUGGCUGUUGCGGCACGACGUCGAGCUCCCUCGUCAUAGCAGCAGCAGCGACGUUUGGAGAAGGGGUAAAGGGCGUUAAGGGCUCACGAAUCAGCACACCGAUGUGCACAUGCAUGCUCCAAGCAGUGCGUGCAUCGGUGUCGCCCCCCCCUUCUCCCACCCCUCUCUUUGUGUGUGUGUGUAUUAUUAUUAUUUUUUGUGUUUUUUUUUCCCUUGCAGCCAUCGCUGCCGCUUUCUGCUUCUCGUUAUUAUGAUGAUGAUAUGCUCGCUGUUGAUCGCUUUCCUUUCUUCGUGUUUGGGAGGAGGAGGAGGAGAGGGGCUUCCCCAUCCCUACCUCCAUGUCUCCCCCUCCCUCCUUCCCACACACAUACACACACACGCAUGUGUCUCUGUGCCCCGUGUUAUGACGCGCCCUGAGGGGGAGGGGAGGGGGAGACACGGAGGAGGGUAACUUACCGUGUUUUCGCGGGUGUCUAUGCGUCUAUUUGUUGGCUUGCUCGUGGGAGGAUGGACACGUGGAACAUGUGUGAGAGAGGGGGAAAGCGGUGAAAAACACGCAGUUUACACUGUUGCUGCCUCCAUCCGUCCUACAUGCUUUCUGUGAGCUCGCUUGUGUGUUCCUUCAUGGUUUUGAGUCCGUUGUGCGAUGGGUAGGUCGUUACAUAUAUUUGUGUAUGUGCGCGUACCUGCGUCCGUGUGUACUUGGGUGUCUACAGGUCCGCUUGGGGGAGUGUUUACCACCGCUGCCGGUGACUCUCACGCACACACUCUUUCUCCCCCUCACGUCCGCUGAUUUGCUUGCAAAAUGCUUGAGUGAAAAAGCUUAAGGAAAAGAAAGAAGAUGCACAGGCUCGGCAUCCGCCACCCAUGCUGCCGCCGCCGUUCUUCACCAAGACAAGCUUGCAUGGGUAUGUGUGCGUGUGUCGGGAGGCGAGGAGGGGGGGUCUGCUCCCAUCACCUGACCCCACCCCCUGCCUCUCCCUCCUCCUCCUAUUCGUCCACUCCCCCCUCCCUGCACCCUCCGCAUUAUGCGCAUGUGUUUGUCUCUCUCUCGCUUGGUCUGUUGCGCAUGUCAUGCAGCUUCACGUGUACAGUCCCGGCUCUCGCUCUCAUGGUCGGCACCGGCGCUGCUCAAUGUCGUGAACAAAAACAACAGCUAACCCAAGAAAUAAAAAGACGAGAGGCGUAUGUUGAUGGUCUAUGCGUGGUGAGGGAGCGGC
rnacentral:misc_RNA from 1 species